rnacentral:rRNA from 1 species
GUCAAGCGAACAAGGGCGCAGGGCGAAUGCCUUGGCACUGGGAGCCGAUGAAAGACGUGAUAAGCUGCGAUAAGCUUCGGGGAGCUGCAAAUAAGCAUUGAUCCGGAGAUUUCUGAAUGAGGAAACUCACCUGGGUUCAUACUCAGGUACGUUAUACUGAACUUAAAAAUAGGUAUAUCGAGGGAACCGCCUGAACUGAAACAUCUAAGUAGGGCGAGGAAGAGACAUCAAACGAGAUUCCGUAAGUAGUGGCGAGCGAACGCGGAAGAGGGCAAACCGGAAGUAGAAAUACUUCCGGGGUACGGACCGCAUUUAGGACUUGAGUUGUUAACCGAACGGCAUGGGAAGGCCGGUCAGAGAGUGUGAGAACCACGUAGGUGAAAACGACAAGAGCUGAGCGAGUUCCAGAGUACGGCCAGACACGUGAACCUGGUCGGAAUAUGGGGGGACCACCCUCCAACCCUAAAUACUACCCAGUGACCGAUAGCGUAUAGUACUGUGAAGGAAAGGUGAAAAGCACCCCGGGAGGGGAGUGAAAAAGAACCUGAAACCCUGUGCCUACAAGCACCUAGAGCACGUCAAUGUGUGAUAGGGUACUUUUUGUAGAACGGUCCGGCGAGCGAUUGUAUGCAGCAAGGUUAAGGACUUAAGGUCUGGAGCCGAAGCGAAAGCGAGUUUGAAAAGGGCGUUAAGUUGCAUACAAUGGGCCCGAAACCGGGUGACCUACCCAUGGUCAGGUUGAAGUGGAAGUAAAAUUCCAUGGAGGACCGAACCGACCUCCGUUGAAAAGGCGGCGGAUGAACUGUGGGUAGCGGAGAAAUUCCAAUCGAACCCGGAGAUAGCUGGUUCUCCCCGAAAUAGUUUUAGGACUAGCCUCAAGUUAGAUACCUGGAGGUAAAGCACUGAAUAGCCUAGCGGCCGAGAGGUUAGCGAAGCUUAUCAAACUCAGAAUGCCAGAGUAUUGAUGCUUGGGAGUCAGACAGUGUCAGAUAAAUGUCAUUGUCAAAAGGGAAACAGCCCAGAUCUACAGCUAAGGUCCCAAAGUCAGGUUAAGUGGAAAACGAUGUGAAGAUACGUAGACAACCAGGAUGUUGGCUCAGAAGCAGCCACACAUUCAAAGAGUGCGUAAUAGCUCACUGGUCGAGCGUCUUUGCGCGGAGAAUUUAACGGGGCUAAACCUGACACCGAAGCUUAGGCAAUACAGCAAUGUAUUGGGUAGGGGAGCGUUGUAUACGCGGUGAAACAGUAGCGCAAGCGGCUGUGGAGUGUAUAGAAGUGAGAAUGCCGGAAUGAGUAGCGCGAAUGCAGUGAGAAUCUGCAUGGCCGAAAGCCUCAGGUUUCUGGAGGAAGGUUCGUCCGCUCCAGGUUAGUCGGGAGCUAAGGUGAGGCCUAACGGCGUAGCCGAUGCACAGACGGUAGAGAUUCCGUCACCACCAAAAGAGUUAAACACAGGGACACAUUUGAAGUCUCGGAGCCGGGUGUUGGUUCCGGUAGCGAUCGAGGGAAGUUAGUACCGAAGUCCGGGAUGGAAGAUGGCGAGAAAAGCUGUGUGUAUUUCUGCGGUGCCCGUACCGCAAACCGACACAGGUAGGUAGGAAGAAGAUUCUAAGGCCAACGGGAGAAGGGUUGUUAAGGAACUCGGCAAAUUGACCCCGUAACUUCGGGAGAAGGGGUGCUCCAGAGAUGGAGCCGCAGAGAAUCGGCCCAAGCAACUGUUUACCAAAAACACAGGUUUGUGCUAAAUCGAAAGAUGACGUAUACGAGCUGACGCCUGCCCGGUGCUGGAAGGUUAAGAGGAGAUGUGCAAGCAUUGAAUCGAAGCCCCAGUGAACGGCGGCCGUAACUAUAACGGUCCUAAGGUAGCGAAAUUCCUUGUCAGGUAAGUUCUGACCCGCAUGAAAGGCGUAAUGAUUUGGGCACUGUCUCGACAGCCCGCCCGGCGAAAUUGUAGUACCGGUGAAGAUGCCGGUUACCCGCGACAAGACGGAAAGACCCCAUGGAGCUUUACUGUAGCCUAAUAUUGGGUUUCGAUGUUGCAUGCACAGGAUAGAUGGGACACAGGGAAACAAGUGCUUUGGCAUUUGUGGAGUGGCCGUUGGGAUACCAUCCUUGCGAUAUUGGAAUUCUAACCUGCGCCUUUGAAUCAAGGCGGGGGACAUUGUUAGGUGGGCAGUUUGACUGGGGCGGUCGCCUCCUAAAGAGUAACGGAGGCGUUCAAAGGUUCGCUCAGCUUGAACGGAAAUCAAGCAAAAGAGUGCAAACGCAGAAGCGAGCCUAACUGCGAGACUGACGGGUCGAGCAGUAACGAAAGUUGGAGUUAGUGAUCCGGUGGUAUGUGAGUGGAAAUGCCAUCGCUCAACGGAUAAAAGUUACCCUGGGGAUAACAGGCUGAUCUCCCCCAAGAGUCCACAUCGACGGGGAGGUUUGGCACCUCGAUGUCGGCUCAUCGCAUCCUGGGGCUGUAUUCGGUCCCAAGGGUUUGGCUGUUCGCCAAUUAAAGCGGUACGCGAGCUGGGUUCAGAACGUCGUGAGACAGUUCGGUCCCUAUCUGUCGUGGGCGCAGGAUAUUUGAUGGGAGCUGUUCCUAGUACGAGAGGACCGGAGCGGACGUACCUCUGGCGCACCAGUUGUUCUGCCAAGGGCAUAGCUGGGCAACUAUGUACGGAUCGGAUAAACGCUGAAAGCAUCUAAGCGUGAAGCCGACCCAAAGAUAAGAUAUCCCAUUGUUUCAAACAAGUAAGACCCCUUGAAGACUACAAGGUUGAUAGGCACGAUGUGUAAGUGGAGCGAUCCAUUCAGCAAGCGUGUACUAAUAGGUCGAGGGCUUGAC